rnacentral:rRNA from 1 species
GCUGGGUAGCUAUGUGCGGAAGGGAUAAGUGCUGAAAGCAUCUAAGCAUGAAGCCCCCCUCAAGAUGAGAUUUCCCAUAGCGUAAGCUAGUGAGAUCCCUGAAAGAUGAUCAGGUUGAUAGGUUCGAGGUGGAAGCAUGGUGACAUGUGGAGCUGACGAAUACUAAUAGAUCGAGGACUUAACCAUAUAA